GGAAAAUACAUAGAAUAUAUUAGCAAGUGCUUUCAAGACCACCCAGUCUUCUUCAAGGCGCUUAAAGAAGCUUUUGAGGCUGUCUUUGACAAAGAUGUAGCUGGGUGGACCAGUCCUGACUUAUUUGCAGCACUUUGUGCUGAUAUAGUUGGAAGAGAGAGGUUGACUGAUGAACUAGCAGAAGAUGAAAUUGAAAAGGUAGUUAAGCUACUAGCGUGCAUAGGCAGCAAGGAUCUGUUUCUUCAGCUUCAUAGGUUUAUAUUCUUUAUUAGCAUGGGCGUAUAAUUCAUUGUUGGAGAUGAAUUGAAGCUUGAGAUCUUAUCUUUUUUUCCCCAUGGCAAUAACUUGUGGCAGGCGGCAUCUUGAAACAAAAUUAUUGUUUUACAAGAAUAUCAGUCAUUCGCAUGAGAUGAUCUUUCUUUCCAAGUUAAGGCAGUAUUUUGGGGGCAAUGCACAUCUCUUAUUGAUGAAAUUUUGAAAGAUCUGAUUGCAGAAAGAAGGAAGAGAAGAUCUUAUGCUGAGUGCAAAUUAUUUGGUGGUGCUGGCAGCACCCCGAUGCAAUCUGAUGAUGUCACCUUGCACAAUCUGGAAGAGUACUUCACUUCCGCACGGAUAGUUCAUAAACAUGCAGAUCCUGGAUUAUUAUUUAAUCAACUUGUUCAGGAAUUGAAGGUGCCCUGGGGCCUCACCCAAAUGAAGGGAGCAAAGUACACGCCAGAAGGGUAUUCUAUAUUUGGAGGCUUGGUAGAUCAUGUCACAAAUGCCCACACAAACAAUAAAAGCUGGAAUGGUAAGAUAACUGCAAAGAUGUUCUACACGUGUCAAGGCAGGUUCAUAUCUUCCCAUGGGCUAUUGCAAAGGAAGCAUGCAGUAGUGAUGCCUGCUGGAAUGACCUCAAUGCUUUACUUUCACUCAUCUUGAAAGAAUCAGCGCUUUCAACUCCUACGGGCAGAGUUUAUCCCCGUCAUCUAUUAAGGCUCGGCAGCAACUUCAAGAAGCUUUCUCGGAAAUCUGUUCUAGGCUCAAAGGUUGGGGCAUACAUCAGAUGCAAUCCUGCUUUCACAUCACAUUCGCAAAGUAGCUGUGUCUGCUGGCACUUGCGGCGCUUAGAAAAUUCCAAAGGGACAAAUGACAAGCAGAAUUUCAGAAGUCUUCUUGAGCCAACGGGUACUGCUAUAGAUUGGUUCUCACAAAUUAAAGAUCAUGCUCUGUUUAAGGAAACUUUUGAAAAAGGAAAGAAGAAUGGUGCACCUUAUGGAUGUGGGUAUUAUGAUCUUUACCAGUUUGUCUGUGAUUGGCAUACAUAUUGUCACGAGAAUACCCCUGAUACCCUUAAGAUUAAGUAUGGGUUUAAAAUAACUGGAAUUUAUUGCCGAGAUUCAUUUUGGUUCGUAUUUGUCGGAAGUUCUGUUCAUGCUUCUUACCGGUGGUAUUGAUAUUGAUGCGUGGGUUAGUGAUUUAAAGCCUGCUCUUCCCAUCCAAAAAGAGAAGUAUAAAGGUGGUUGAUUGUCUUGCCACUGAUCAGGAUGCGGGAGUCUCUUACCGAUGUUAUGACUGUUAGGCAUGCUACUUCAAUGGCACUCAAGGACGUCCUUUGGUGCUGUAUCACUUAGUGUAGUUUGUUGUUUUGUAGCUGAACCUGCUAUCAAAUCUGUCGAAUUUUAUAGUUUACCUU